rnacentral:rRNA from 1 species
AUGAACGCUGGCGGCGUGCUUAACACAUGCAAGUCGAACGCACUUUUUCUUCGGAGAGGGUGAGUGGCAGACGGGUGCGUAACACGUGGGUGACCUGCCUCGGAGUGGGGAAUAACUAUCCUAACGGAUGGCUAAUACCGCAUACGCCCGAUGCUUCAGUGCAUCGUGUAAAGUCGUAAGACGCUUCGAGAUGGGCCUGCGGCGGAUUAGGUAGUUGGUGGGGUAACGGCCUACCAAGCCGAUGAUCCGUAGGGGGCGUGAGAGCGUGGCCCCCCACACUGGCACUGAGAUACGGGCCAGACUCCUACGGGAGGCAGCAGUGAGGAAUAUUGCACAAUGGGCGCAAGCCUGAUGCAGCAACGCCGCGUGAGGGACGAAGGCCUUCGGGUCGUAAACCUCUUUUUUGAGGGACGAGAGACAGGACGGUACCUCAAGAAUAAGUCUCGGCUAACUACGU